ACCCGCACAAGCAGCGGAGCGUGUGGUUUAAUUCGAUGAUACACGAAGACCUUACCAGGGCUUGACAUGCAGAUGGUAGUGAAGAGAAAUUGGAACGACCCUUCGGGGAGUCUGCACAGGUGCUGCAUGGCUGUCGUCAGCUCGUGUCGUGAGAUGUUGGGUUAAGUCCCGCAACGAGCGCAACCCUUGUCAUUAGUUGCUACAUUCAGUUGGGCACUCUAAUGAGACUGCCGGUGACAAACCGGAGGAAGGUGGGGAUGACGUCAAGUCCUCAUGGCCCUUAUAGGUGGGGCUACACACGUCAUACAAUGGAUGGUACAAAGGGUCGCCAACCCGCGAGGGGGAGCCAAUCCCAUAAAGCCAUUCGUAGUCCGGAUCGCAGUCUGCAACUCGACUGCGUGAAGUCGGAAUCGCUAGUAAUCGUGGAUCAGAAUGUCACGGUGAAUACGUUCCCGGGUCUU
rnacentral:rRNA from 1 species